rnacentral:rRNA from 1 species
CAAUAGCGUAUAUUAAAGUUGUUGCAGUUAAAAAGCUCGUAGUUGGAUUUCUGGGAGGGUGCCAAUGUCCGCUGAGGCGUGUGCAGCGGCGCCCUUCCAUCCUUCUGUUAACGUUUCAUGGUAUUCAGUUACUGGUUUCGGGCUCAGAUAUUUUACCUUGAGAAAAUUAGAGUGUUUCAGGCAGGCUUGCGCCGGAAUACAUUAGCAUGGAAUAAUAGAAUAGGACUUUAGUCUCUUUUGUUGGUUUGAGGGGCUGAAGUAAUGAUUAAUAGGGAUAGUUGGGGGCAUUAGUAUUUAAUUGUCAGAGGUGAAAUUCUCGGAUUUGUUAAAGACUAACUUAUGCGAAAGCAUUUGCCAAGGAUGUUUNCAUUA